GAUGAACGCUGGCGGCGUGCCUAAUACAUGCAAGUCGAGCGAAAGAAGGGGAAUUUUUCCUCUCUGCAGUUGCGGGCGGCCGGGUAAUUACUAGGUGGAUACCUUGCCUUUAGGACUGGGAUACGUUCGGGAACCCGAAGCUAAUACCGGUUAUUAGUUUGAACGGCAGGGUUCAUAGGUGAACACGGUUUCUGCUGUACCUAAAUCUGGUUUCCGCGCUGCAUUAGCUAGUUGGUAAGGUAACGGCUUACCAAGGCAACGAUGCGUAGCCGACCUGAGAGGGUGAUCGGCCACACUGGAACUGAGACACGGUCCAGACUCCUACGGGAGGCAGCAGUAGGGAAUCUUCCGCAAUGGGCGAAAGCCUGACGGAGCAACGCCGCGUGAGUGAUGAAGGUCUUCGGAUCGUAAAACUCUGUUAUUAGGGAAGAACAUAUGUGUAAGUAACUCUGCACGUCUUGACGGUACCUAAUCAGAAAGCCACGGCUAACUACGUG
rnacentral:rRNA from 1 species